rnacentral:rRNA from 1 species
ACCUACGGGGCGCAGCAAUUAGGAAUCUUGCGCAAUGGGCGAAAGCCUGACGCAGCGACGCCGCGUGGAGGAGGAAGUCCUUCGGGAUGUAAACUCCUUUUGCGAGGGAAGAAGGAUGUGACGGUACCUCGCGAAUAAGCCCCGGCUAACUACGUGCCAGCAGCCGCGGUAAUACGUAGGGGGCGAGCGUUGUCCGAAGUUACUGGGCGUAAAGCGCGCGUAGGCGGGGGAGUAAGUGAGAGGUGAAAGGCUCGGGCUCAACUUGAGCAGUGCCUCUCAUACUGCUCUUCUUGAGGGCGGUAGGGAGAAGUGGAAUGGCUGGUGUAGCGGUGAAAUGCGUAGAUAUCAGUCGGAACACCGGUGGCGAAGGCGGCUUCUUGGGCCGUACCUGACGCUGAGGCGCGAAAGCCAGGGGAGCGAACGGGAUUAGAUACCCUGGU